rnacentral:rRNA from 1 species
GUGUCAGCAGCCGCGGUAAUACGUAGGGGGCUAGCGUUGUCCGGAUUCAUUGGGCGUAAAGCGCGUGUAGGCGGCCAGGUAGGUCCGAUGUGAAAACUGGAGGCUCAACCUCCAGCUGUCAUUGGAAACCAUCUGGCUAGAGUCCGGAAGAGGAGAGUGGAAUUCCUGGUGUAGCGGUGAAAUGCGCAGAUAUCAGGAAGAACACCGAUGGCGAAGGCAGCUCUCUGGGACGGUACUGACGCUGAGACGCGAAAGCGUGGGGAGCGAACAGGAUUAGAUACCCCCGUAGUCC